AUUUAGAUUCCAUACUGGCGCGUGAGUUUUUACUUGCUCGGAAUAUGACAAAAUUUUGUGGUGUAGGGCAUCUCAUCUAUGGCGAAGCCGAUUAAUAAUCGGCAAUCUGAUUAGGAUAAUGGAUUAUGGUUGUAAACUGUUCUAAAAAAUAAGAACGAUUAUGAUUGUCUAUAGCAGUAUGAUAUGUUAUUUUAUAACGAUUACUAUUUUUUAUAUGAUAAUCUAAAAGAUUAAUAAAAAAAUAUAAUAAUUAACAGAAACAAUAAUUAAAACUUAUAUAUGAGCCUCGUAGAUAUCUUCAAGCUUUAAACUUUUAUAUAUAUUAAAUAAUUUUACAAAGAGAGAAAAUACAGAGAGAGAAAAAU
rnacentral:lncRNA from 1 species